rnacentral:tRNA from 1 species
GGUCUAAUAGUCUAGUUGGUUAGGACGUCGGAUUCUGAUACGAGGUUUCCGUAAGCCCAGGUUCGAAUCCUGGUUAGACCU